rnacentral:rRNA from 1 species
CGCGGCCCGAGUGGUGCUCAUUAUUAUUGAGCUUAAAGCGUCCGUAGCCGGCCUCGUAAAUCUUUGGGUAAAUCGGGCAGCUUAACUGUUCGAAUUCCGAGGAGACUGCGAGGCUCGGGACCGGGAGAGGUUCGAGGUACUCCGGGGGUAGGGGUAAAAUCCUGUAAUCCUCAGAGGACCACCAGUGGCGAAGGCGUCGAACUAGAACGGAUCCGACGGUGAGGGACGAAGCCCUGGGGCGCAAACGG